UGUGAUCCAGAUUCUCUUUUCCACUUCCAUAUUCCUAGGAAGACUGUUUUUCCUCUGCAAACGUACUCUACUUGUCUUUCUAGGUGGUGCUGAGCAAGACAGACACUCAGAUCCUUAGGAUAAAGAGCCCGUAUAUCUUCUGAAAAGAUGAGCUCUGCAGAGGCAAGAACCUUGUCUGUCCUGUUCAUUCUUGGGUUUGCACAUCCCACACAUGCCCAGGUCAAUGCUUGCUGGAGAAAUUGACAAAGAACCAGAGAUGAUCAUAUCUGGAGAUUUCCUUCUCUGGAAUAUCAGAGCUGCAAGGUCUACUCUGAACAACCUCCAGGCUUAAGACUCCAAUCCAACUUCAGUGGUUUCAGCAGAACUCAAUGAGAAAGGACCCCAGGGAUGUUCUGCUCUUAGUCUUGUCUUGGAGGAAACCAACUUUCUCUGAGUCGACUUGUCUCUCAGAAUGGGGCACCAUGUUCCCUUCCUCAAGUCACCAGAACCUCAAAGAGGCUCCUCUGAGCGAAACGCCUGGCUACAGACUUCACUAAGGACCUGAUUUAUCCCCAAAUGAUCUAUUGUUAUGCAUCAAACAUGUUUUCCCUAAAAACCAGCUGGCAGGCAGCACCCAGAUAAAUUACUACAAGAUGUAACCAGACAAGCUGUUCAAAAGGAAAACGGUUCUCUGUGUGUAGAGCUCAGGAGAGCACAUCUAUAAACAUGUGUUGGGAAAUCGCUUUGGUGUAAGUUGGCUGGAAGAAAGGGAAGGCUGCCCUAAACUACCAGCUUGCUGUGAUAUGGGACAGUUCUUUUGAGGUCAUGGCCCAUUGUCUCAGUGGCAAGAAUGAAAAAACAAGUGUCUGAAGAGUCUUGAAGGGAGUAGGAAUAACAGGCAAUUUCCAUAGACAGAAGCAACGCAAGUCAGACUCUUGUUUGUGGAAAGAAGGGGUUACAGUGAUUUUACUUCGUUGCUCUUCUGCUAUAUUUCGAAUGAGUAGUAUCACACUGCAGUAUAGUGCUACACUAUUUGAUAUGGCAGAAAAGCUUCCAGAUGUAGGAUCAUAGAGAAAGAAUAACAAAUCAUUGCCCAACAACAUGCCAUAUGCUAUCUCUGUGAUCUUGAGCAUCUCUGAGAUUCUGCCCUCAUUUACAAGAUCAGAAGGUUAAGUAUGUAUGACCUGUCUUGACAAGGUUGUAAGAGUCAUGUCUUGUCUUGGAGAAGUCCAUCCUUUGCUGUGGGAAGAUAUGGAAUGAUAAAGUGCUUGCCAUGUGCCCAUGGGGACCUGGAUUAAAUCUCUAGAACAUGUAUAACAAAGACCAGGCAUGGUGGUACAUGCUUGUAAUCCCAGUACUAGGGAUAUGGAGACAGGCAGAAAUCUGGAACACAAUGACCAACAAGCCUAGCCUAUUUAGCUAACUCAAUGCCAGUGAUCAACUCUGUCCAAAAAACAUUACAGCUGGAACCUGAGGAAUGACACCCAAAAUUAUUCUCUGACCUCCACUCUCAAGUGCACACAUACACACCGACUCACAUACAAAUAAAUGCACAUGUGCAAGCACGCAUACACAAUAAUUAUAUUUGAAACAUGGUAUAAAAUAAUUUCACUAAGAACAAUACCCAGGCAUGAUGUGUUAAAAUUAAAUUAAUGUCCUUAGUUCCUCCAUCAUUCAGACACAUUCUAAGUACUCAGGAGCCACAUAGGGCUUGUGGCUACUGUGUUCGGUCGUACAGAUGCAGAUUGCUUUCAUUCUGCCCACAGUUCUACUGAACAAUGCUGUUCUAGAACCUGCUAGAUGCAAUGAAAACAUUUUAUACAUAAUUGCCUCCUGCCUCUUAGUUUUCAAGUAUAUUUGCACAUAGCAGUAAAUUAAAGAAUUAUCUACCUAGCAAAGCAGAAAUGUUCCUUGUUAGCCUAUUGGACAAAACUCUUUAUUUGGUAAUCUAACCUGGCUAUGUCUGCAAAGCAUUGUGAUUACUGGAAAAUUAGAGUAGAAAAAUAGAUGGCUUCUCGUGUCCUUAGUGAAACAUCACCAAGCACAAAUGUGGGAGACCUUGACUGCAGCCACAGGUAUCUCAGCAUCCAUGACAGUCAGAAUGACAGUGAAAUGAAGUCAAUGAAGAUGAGAGGUGAAAUAAAGAAAAGCACCGAGAGAAUUGCCACUAAACACUUUUUUCUUUAAGCAUAACAAGUGGAAUGUAAAUGGACUUGUGCUAACAUGGUUAUAAACCUUCUAAUGUUUCAUUUAACUUCCUUGGAAAAAAUCCCAGUGUAGAUGAAAUGCGCCCCAAGAAAUGUAACUAAAGCUUAGAGGCAUCCUCAAGAGCAUAGCAGUUACUCCAAACCUACAUUUCUCCUCCUCGUCUCGGUCUUCCUCUUCUUCCUCUUCUUUACUUUGAGGACCAGCUUGUCUUUCUGGGGUGGGUCUAACACAUUGAUGCUGCAGCUGAUAAGAAUGUGGCCUGUGGAGGAAGGACCUCUUGGUCUUCAGAACAUAUUUUCUUGUAAAGGAUGGAAAGCAAGUUCCAGUAAGGUGGCCUUCAACGGUGAGAAGAAAAACAACAACAACAACAACAAAACAACAAAAAAAGAUAGUCACUACCUUUAUUAAAUGUGUGCUUAUCAUAUUAUACUGGUCAUAUGACUUAAUCAGCAUAUCCAUUUAGCAGAAGAACGACAAAGAUCCCCAUUCUAUACACGGAGGACUGGAUGGUUGAGAAGUCACUAGAGGUCACAAACUGGUAAGCAAUGGCGCCAAAACUUGACCUUGGGUGGUCCAGCAAGAAUUCACAUUUUCAAUCCCUGGCUCGGAGGUCUGCUAGGCUAAGUAAACUCUCUGUGGUGUGGCUUUCUUGUGUACAUUUCCAAAAAUAAUGGAUUUUUAAAUGAUAUUUAGGGUUUUCCUUUUACAGUGUUUUUGGUCAUUGUAGGAAAUAGUCCUAAGUAUUACAGAAAGACACAUUAAGAAUAAUGACAGGGCCUGGCAAAUGGGUCUGUGGGGAAAGGCACUUGCCACCCAGGCUGACCUCAAGUCUAUUCUCAGAAUCUACAUUGAAGAAGGAACCCAAAUUCCUUGUCCCCUGACCUCCACAUAUGUGGCAUGGCAUUUGCAUGUACACACACACACACACACACACACACACACACACACACACACUAAACAAAUUAUUAAAAUCACACUAGAAACACUUCUUUUGUGAUCAGGCAUCUUAUAUGUUCUGUGAUAAAAAGCAUUUGUAAAUAAAUGAAAAUAUCAGAAGCAAAUUCAGAUGAUGAGAUCUGUUGCCUUUGAAUUAGCAUGCUAUGUUUCAGAGCUGCAAUGCUUUCUCUGUGGGCUCGGUCUCCAGCAUUGGCUUUGAUGGAGACGGUAGAACUUUUAAGAAGUUGGUCUUAGGCCAUUGGCGGUGGGGGCCUGACCCUGAAAGGGCUAUAAUGCAAGCCCAGGCCCCUCCCUUCAUUUCUUCCAUGUCUCCUCUGCGUGACUGGUGUUCCAUCUGCUCCUGUAAUGGCUUGUUGCCUUUAGGCCCCAGUGCAAUAAAACAAGCUACCAUGGACUGAAAAAAUCUUAAAACUGCGCACACAAAUAAACCUUCCCUUUUUUAUAAA